GACGUAGGGCGCGAGCGUUGUCCGGAUUUAUUGGGCGUAAAGAGCUCGUAGGCGGCUUGUUGCGUCAGCUGUGAAAACCCGCAGCUCAACUGUGGGCUUGCAGCUGAUACGGGCAGACUAGAGUUCGGUAGGGGAGACUGGAAUUCCUGGUGUAGCGGUGAAAUGCGCAGAUAUCAGGAGGAACACCGGUGGCGAAGGCGGGUCUCUGGGCCGAAACUGACGCUGAGGAGCGAAAGCGUGGGGAGCGAACAGG
rnacentral:rRNA from 1 species